UAAACGUGUUAUAUAAGCUUGCAGCAAAACUUUGAACUAUGAUAAGAGUUGCCGUAAACGUCAAUUUUCAGCUAUCUUGACAGACAAAUGCAUACCCUUUCCGUUCCUCGCGCUAUUUAUAGAAAGGUAAACAGACGACGAAAAUUCACACGCAAAUGCAGGCACAAUCCAGGAAUCUAAUUUUGUCACAUGUUGAAAUGAUCGAGAUAUAUAGAGUAAUCAGAACUUUCAAUAUAUGAAUGACCUAUGCAGUGAGAUAACAAAGGUGAAGACGUAAAUCAAAAGAUUCAUAAUUCUACAAGGUGGUGCUGCUGAGCAAUAAGAUGGACCUAGCAGGCUAGCUAUUUGAUGGUGGAACUUUUUUAUUGAGACUAAAUGUAGAACAUUGAAAAAAAUUAUUUUGUCAUUUCUUUGUACAUGUUGUAUAAAGCCAACAAAAAACCAAAAUAAAAGCAUUUAAGUCUGA